AAGUCGAGCGGUAACAGAAAGUAGCUUGCUACUUUGCUGACGAGCGGCGGACGGGUGAGUAAUGCUUGGGAACAUGCCUUGAGGUGGGGGACAACAGUUGGAAACGACUGCUAAUACCGCAUAAUGUCUACGGACCAAAGGGGGCUUCGGCUCUCGCCUUUAGAUUGGCCCAAGUGGGAUUAGCUAGUUGGUGAGGUAAUGGCUCACCAAGGCAACGAUCCCUAGCUGGUUUGAGAGGAUGAUCAGCCACACUGGAACUGAGACACGGUCCAGACUCCUACGGGAGGCAGCAGUGGGGAAUAUUGCACAAUGGGCGAAAGCCUGAUGCAGCCAUGCCGCGUGUGUGAAGAAGGCCUUCGGGUUGUAAAGCACUUUCAGUCAGGAGGAAAGGGUGUGAGUUAAUACCUCAUAUCUGUGACGUUACUGACAGAAGAAGCACCGGCUAACUCCGUGCCAGCAGCCGCGGUAAUACGGAGGGUGCGAGCGUUAAUCGGAAUUACUGGGCGUAAAGCGUACGCAGGCGGUUUGUUAAGCGAGAUGUGAAAGCCCCGGGCUCAACCUGGGAACUGCAUUUCGAACUGGCAAACUAGAGUGUGAUAGAGGGUGGUAGAAUUUCAGGUGUAGCGGUGAAAUGCGUAGAGAUCUGAAGG
rnacentral:rRNA from 1 species